rnacentral:rRNA from 1 species
UAGGACCUACGGGGGGCAGCAGUGGGGAAUAUUGCACAAUGGGGGAAACCCUGAUGCAGCGACGCCGCGUGAAGGAAGAAGUAUUUCGGUAUGUAAACUUCUAUCAGCAGGGAAGAAAAUGACGGUACCUGACUAAGAAGCUCCGGCUAACUACGUGCCAGCAGCCGCGGUAAUACGUAGGGAGCGAGCGUUAUCCGGAUUUAUUGGGUGUAAAGGGUGCGUAGACGGGUAUACAAGUUGGUUGUGAAAUCCCUCGGCUUAACUGAGGAACUGCAACCAAAACUGUAUAUCUUGAGUACAGGAGG